UCCAGUUUCUUACUCCCCAACGUGGCACAGCUGUCAAGAUUCCUGCUGCAGCCUUUGGCCUCCCAGCAACUGUUUUCAAUAUUGUCUUGGAACAGCACCCUGUGUGUGUGUACCACUUGGGAAUCAGUCAAUUAACCUGAGAGAAACUUGAACUCCGAGUUUUGGGCCUCCUUUUCUGCAGUUCCUGACCCCUGAGGUUUCAACUUCAGAUCCCAGGGGGGAGGAGUUCCUUGGCACACGUGUGAUGGUCAGGAGACAACUUGUGGGAGUUGGUUCUUUUCUUCCAUGGGUCCCAGGGAUUGAACUCAGGUUGUCAAGCUUAGUGACAAGCACCUUUACCUGCUAAGCCAUCUUGCCAGCCGAAAAUCAAAAUUCUGAACUAGAACAAGGUUCUAUGUGCAUCACCUUCACAUCCACUGUUUUUGCACAUGAAUUUGAGGAAAAGGUUGGCUCGUGGGUUGUAAAGUGUUCCUCAUCCACAAGGCAUACUUUUCAGGAAGACCAUGGCACUCACAAGAGGGUGAGUUAAUUAAAUUGAAAUGGAUAAGUAAAUUCUUGAUACUUUACUUUUCAAACUUUUGUUUGUUCUAUGCAUUAAUCAGCUCUCCAGGCCUGUAGCCAAUACCUGAGACAGUCUACUUACAAAGAGGCUUGUUUUGGCUUACGGUUUUAGAGGUAUUCUAAAUUAAAGUCCAUCUGAAUUAAACAUUGGUUAGCCUCAUUGUUUGGGAGCCAGUGGCAAGGAAGAGGACAGUGGC